rnacentral:lncRNA from 7 species
GCGAGUAUUGUGGACUGGGGACACAAUUUCCAGGAAGACCAGAGUUUAAAUUCAAAAUUCUGGGACCUAUCCGCAAUAUUCUUCCCACAGCCUCGGACGGCGGUUUGAAUUUGGAAAACCAGAGGGUCACUUUUGCAAUAAAUACACGGCGAAGGGGUAUAGACAUCACACAACCGCUUGAUCUGAUCCGGAUGAUCCAGAUUAGAUUAAUAUUUUAAUCAUCCCACGCUGAAUCCCGAUCGCAGGAUUUGAGACCAACGAUUCAGAUUUUAAAUAACCGAGAACUCCACGCGUCCACCUGAUCGAAAUCCAACGGUCGGGAUUAGAUCCGCCAUGAUCCGAACCCGUACACGACAAGAACCGAUGGAUCAGUGAUCUAUGGCUCAAAUCAGCUCACAACUGGCAUGUGCACCUACCCACCGGAUUCUGAUCUGACGGCACAGAUCAGUCGAGCGAAAAGGUUACACGGUGUUAUGAUCCUGGCCGUUGAUCCAUGGAUCCACGGCACCCCUAGGACCCCCCUAACCCAGACGCGGAUGACGGCGUGAGCAAGCACACGACGGUGCCAUUACCGACGUACGGCCGCCCGCUAAUCCGAACACGAAUCCUCAAAUCCAAGGGACGGUAAACGGAGCAGGGAUGAAGGCGAAUUAGUCUAGGGCUUCCCUACCUGGAGUCGAGGUGCAAAGAGCCCCGUCCACGGUGAUGUAUGGCCCCACGGCGGUGGAGCAACUUCGAUGAAGAAUUCCUUCUCCGCUUAUCGCCAAUCACGGCCACCAAGGGCACCACGUGCUUCAGCGGUCAUCGAAGAGGUACUCCAUUUCCAUACGUAGUCCAAACGACCGUGCAGUCGAGCAUGACUCAACGGCGGCCGCGCGAGCACCCCCAUGGCGUCCGACGAGAAAUUGUCUAGGUUCCGGCCACCGAGUUGGCUUGUUGACAGUGUGGGCCCCUUCCAUGUGUCCCAGGGAGAGCCCAUGGACGGCUAACAAAGCUUCAAUGCCGAUAGACAAGCAGGUCCACGGUGGUGGCAUCCGG